AAACAAGAUGUUGAGUGUGACUGGGUGGAAGCCGCUGACUUGUCCCUGGCACAAGUGUGCUGAUAUCCCCUCCCCCUCCUUCCUCACAUCCUGCAUCUCAGCGAGAAUUGGCGUGCUGGGGUUAGCUGUGUGGCCAUCACCCCAGGCCCAGGUGAAGCCCUCGAUCAGGUGAGGCCAUGAUCCCAAGGAGUGUUUAAGCUCAGAUCCUGCCUCUUCCCUGCUUUCUGCCGAGAAGCGGGACCUCCUCUGUGGAAAAUAUCCAGCUGGGCGAGCCUGGGAGGCAGGAGGUGAGUGGGGCCGGACUCAGGGACCAACUCUUCCCGUCUCAUGACUGUGUUUACUGGGCUGGAUUUUGAGAAGGGGCCAGAUUGCAUCAGACAGGGCCUAAUGGGCUGGAGCCAGACUGUGGUCUGAGGAGGAGACACAGCCUUAUAAGCUGAGGGAGUGGACUGGGAGUGGAGAGGCACGGGGCCAGGAAAGCAGAGAAAGACAAAGCGUUAGGAGAAGAAGACAGGCAGGGAGGACAAGCCAGGCACGAUGGCCACCUUCCCACCAGCAACCAGCGCCCCCCAGCAGCCCCGAGGCCCAGAGGACGAGGACCCCAGCCUGGAUGAAUCUGACCUCUACAGCCUGGCCCAUUCCUACCUGGGAGGUGGAGGCCGGAAAGGUCGCACCAAGAGAGAAGCUGCUGCCAACACCAACCGCCCCAGCCCUGGCGGGCACGAGAGGAAACUGGUGACCAAGCUGCAGAAUUCAGAGAGGAAGAAGCGAGGGGCACGACGCUGAGACAGAGCUGGAGAUGAGGCCGGACCAUGGACACUACACCCAGCAAUGGAGACAGGACUGCGGAGGAAGGAAGAACCAAGACAGGAUCCAGGCCAGCUUGCCACACCCCCCACCCCUGGGACUUAUCCCCGCUGACUGAGUCUCUGAGGGGCUACCAGGAAAGCACCUCCAACCCCAGCAAAAGUGCAAGAUGGGGAGUGAGAGGAAGGGAAUGGAGAGGCAGAGCCAGGAAGAUACCCCCAGAAAAGAAAGCUACAGAAGAAGCUGGGGCUCCUCUAGGGCAGCAGCACCAAUAAAUAGACGCGCACGGCAGCCAC
ensembl:lncRNA